AAUCAAAGGUUGCUCAUAUAUGUACAAGUCCCCGUAAUACUGUUUAACGGAAUGUAGGCCUAGGCCUAGUGCAUAAUACGUAGCACCCAAAGCCGCAAUUCCAGAAGGGUGUGCUCCGUUCACUGCAUAAAUAAUUGCUGUGGAACUCGCAUGUAAAUAAAGGUUGAUGGUGAUGGACUGGAUACAUAAAUCAAAUACUGUAUAACAACUAUUUUCAUUAGCAGUGAUGAGAGCUUUUACUGCUAUCAAGUAGCUACUGGAUAUUCAUGACGAAAUUCACCUCGUAAUCAAGGGGAUUAUCGAAAUACUCUCCCUGCGUGGUCGAGGCAGCAUGUAGAGUGACAGCAACAGAAUCGCUCUCGCUGUAAUAUACAUUAAGACCUGAACCUUCCCCACACCAACGGCCUCCACGCCUCGGUAACUUUGGUUCCUCGAUGCCAACGUAGUCACCAUCGCAGCCUCCGAUUCCAGCACCUGUGGGAAAUUAAGGUCUGAUGUGACAGUGUUAACUUCCGCCCGUUGAAAGUACGAAUACUCAGUCUCCUCGAACUGGCAGUGAGACACUGUGGCUGGAUGUACGCUGAAGAAGCCUUUAACUGGUGAACCUCUUAAUAUUACAUCGACACCGAACGACUAGUCAGGGUUUAUAACGCUGCCAAUACAGAGCGAGCUGCCUUGUGCAACGUCGAGAUGUACUCGGCGUCCGCGUUGAAGUUUGUCAACACGGAGAGCUGCGUUUGUUGGAGCUGAAGGACGAAGCACUUAAGACUGAGUGACGGUGUUAGAUACAGCCAUGGCUAACUCAGAAGAAAUCAGAUUGAUUGACUGAAUCUGGGCUGUAACCUUCUGAGAGGCCAGGGAUGCUGGCGCAUCCUUCAUUUCACGUUCCUGGAUAGCUAAAUACAUUAAAAAGAGAUGAAUCCUUUGUUAAAAGAAACUGGAACAAAAACCCAUAUGACUGUCAUCGCAAAAAGAGUGAGAAUCUUGGAAGGCCUGAAGUCCUUUCUCAGGAGUCAAAAGGCAUCAUAGCUGAGGUAGUGGGUAGACCAAGAAAGUCUUUACGUAAAUUGGCGCUUGAACUAGAAGCAAAAAGUGGAGAGAAGAGAAGCUAUAGUGCUGUAUAUCGUGAAUUGAAAAAAUCUGGUAUCAAGCCAUUUCAUAUUAUCAGCAAGCCCGACAUCACUCAGCAACAGAGAGAAGACCGUGAAUGGUUUUGUGGUUCAUUUCUUAAAGAUUGGGAUGAAGCUGGCUAUCACCAUGUUGCUGCAUCAGAUGAAUUCAACAUUUACACAGUCAGGAAGCCAAAUCAUAAAAAUGACAUAAUUUGAGCUGCAAAGUUGGAAGAUAUUAGCGAUGACGUGCGCUAUUGCCAAGUUGUGAAAUUUCCUGAAUGUUUGGGAAUUUUUCUCUGUUUCACAGCCAAACGAUUAAUGUGGAUCAUCAAAGAAAAAGGACAGUCAUGGAAUGGCAAAUACUUCAGAGAAACUGUGCUUACUGUUGGAGUAUUUCCUUUCCUCAAAAAUCCUGAAAAUGUGUUAUCUAUUGAAGAAGUCACAUUUUUGUAUGUUUCAAGGCUCUUCAGACACAGGAGGUGCUUCGAAACAGUGGUAUCCAUCUCUUCUCCCCAAGUGAAUUUCCAGGUAGCUCCCCUGACCUUAAUGUAUGUGAAAACAUUGGUAGUAUCUGAAAGGAUCGUGUUGAAGCGUGCACAGUGAACUAUGAUGGUAUACCAAGCCUCGACGACAUGCGAAGAGAGGUGACCGAAGUGCUCAGGGAAAUGGAGUCUGAGUCUCAGCUUCUUUGCAAUUUGCUGAAAUCAUACCCCUAAAGAAUGCAGGCUGUGGUACAGGCAGAUGAAG